rnacentral:rRNA from 1 species
AUUGAACGCUGGCGGCAUGCCUUACACAUGCAAGUCGAACGGCAGCGGGGGAGAAGCUUGCUUUUCCUGCCGGCGAGUGGCGAACGGGUGAGUAAUACAUCGGAACUUGCCCUGGAGUGGGGAUAACUAGUCGAAAGAUUAGCUAAUACCGCAUACGACCUGAGGGUGAAAGUGGUGGACCGCAAGGCCUCAUGCUAUAGGAACGGCCGAUGUCUGAUUUGGUGGUUGGUGGGGUAAAGGCCCAGCAAGGCGACGAUCAGUAGCUGGUCUGAGAGGACGAUCAGCCACACUGGGACUGGGACACGGCCCAGACUCCUACGGGAGGCAGCAGUGGGGAAUUUUGGACAAUGGGCGAAAGACUGAUCCAGCAAUGCCGCGUGUGUGAAGAAGGUCUUCGGGUUGUAAAGCACUUUUGUCCGGAAAGAAAUGGCUCUGCUUAAUACCUGGGGUCGAUGACGGUACCGGAAGAAUAAGGACCGGCUAACUACGUGCCAGCCGCCGCCGUAA